rnacentral:rRNA from 1 species
UGGGGAAUCUUGGACAAUGGGGGCAACCCUGAUCCAGCAAUGCCGCGUGUGGGAUGAAGGCCUUCGGGUUGUAAACCACUUUUGGCGGGGGCGAAAUAUCGAGUGCUAAUACCAUUCGGUGAUGACGGUACCCGCAGAAUAAGCACCGGCUAACUACGUGCCAGCAGCCGCGGUAAUACGUAGGGUGCAAGCGUUAAUCGGAAUUACUGGGCGUAAAGCGUGCGCAGGCGGUUAGGUAAGACAGGUGUGAAAUUCCCGGGCUCAACCUGGGAACUGCAUUUGUGACUGCCUGACUAGAGUGCGGCAGAGGGGAGUGGAAUUCCGCGUGUAGCAGUGAAAUGCGUAGAUAUGCGGAGGAACACCGAUGGCGAAGGCAACUCCCUGGGCCUGCACUGACGCUCAUGCACGAAAAGCGUGGGGAGCAAAACAGGAUUAGAUACCCUGGUAGUCCACGCCCUAAAACGAUGUCGACUAGUUGUUGGACGGGUUACUGUUCAGUAACGAAGCUAACGCGUGAAGUCGACCGCCUGGGGAGUACGGCCGCAAGGUUAAAACUCAAAUGAAUUGACGGGGGUCAUAGGC